rnacentral:lncRNA from 1 species
CGCAGAUUCACAAAGCCUGGGCCCUUGCGGUCAUUUUGGUGGAAAAAUGUUAAAUUUUGACGCAAUUUAGACCCCGUCACUUUGCGAUUGAAAAGGUUAGACAAUGAUCUCGGCUUCAGCGUUUAUCAGGUUUUAGCUGCCGGUUGAUGCAGCGUACGAAGAAAAAAUGAGAAGGAACAAGGAUAUGAUUCACAUGAGCAAUCGUAUAGAAAUCCUUUCGUUGAAGUCUGUAUAAACCGGCAAGUGUUUGCAAACGUUUUGUAUUGUACUAUAUGUUCGUUUUGUAGUCUUAGAGUUGUUGUCGUUGUUGUUAUUGUCGUUUGUCGCUUUUGCCAUUGUUGUUGUUAAUAACAUAUAACAACAUCAUUCUAUAAUCACCGCCUAAUAUAUGUGUCAUACAGUGAUUAUGAAGACUAAUUUCUUGUAAAUAAAUAUUAUCUAGUUUUUCAGUAUAUAUAACUCCUCCUAGUGUAGUAUAAUACUGUUUUAGGAGUAUUUCAUUAAAGCAUUAAAGCUACUAUAAGGGCCUUUAGCUUUGCUCUAAACGUCGAGAAGCAUUCAACUAUUUUACUUUAUUUAUACCAUUAAGGCUUGGAUAUUUAUACUUUAUAUGAACAACGACUUUAUUAUGUACAAUAUACAUAGUUCAACAGCGUUCUUACUCAUGUUUGGGAUGUACGAUUUUGUAAAAGACUUUCUCUGGUCGACAUCGCUUCGAGACAGUCGCCAUAUGGCGUUCAGUAAUAUAUGAUAUUAUGAUUUACGCAAGUAAAAUGACACCAAGUGGCAAGUGCGCUUGCGCAAACUCGUUUGAGCAAAUGUCGCUGGCAAUAGGCUUAUCACUUAUGUUUUGGCAUGCGGAGUUUGGAUAAGUGCUUGGUGCUAUAAAAUGGCCAAUUUUAUAAGAAAGAUCCAUCACUUUUGUAAUAAAAUAUGUUGUCAGACGUCUAUGUUUAUAAACAAUCGCGUGACUACCAUCGGAAAAUAUCGUGAUGUUCCGGUAUAUUCCGGUAAAAUGUCGUGAUAUUCCGGCAUAUUCCGUGAUAUUCCGGCAUAUUCCGUGAUAUUCCGGCAUUCCAGGUUUUCACAACGCCUGUCUGACAAUUAAGUCAUAGGUUACAAUCAGCGUAGCUUUAAAGUGCAUAGGUGGUAUGGUGCGAUUACUGUCAUUUUUUAGAUAUAUACCAUACCUCCCUAAAUGAGUCUUAAGAAAAUAAGAACCUAUUUAAGAACCUGUUUAGCCUAAUUUCCUGGUAAGCACCAUUUACAUAAUAACCUGUUUAAGCUAACUUGGAAAGUCUAGGUUCUUAUAUGUCACCGAAACCGAACUGUUUCAGUGUCAAAAAAUAUUACAGCCACUGUCAGCCAGCUUUGCCACUCAUUGUAUUGUUUUUUUAGCUUUGAUCACUUAUCUGGGGAAAACAUCCGAGUUGAUAACCUGGAGCUUUUUAACUGUUUUAAUUAGUAUAGGUAAUCAUGCGAUGUUGCUCGUACAAUUAGGGAUUAAUAGUACGAGUGAUGUUUGGAAAUUGUGCCAAAAUUGGACGAGCCGCCGGUGCGAGUCCAAUUUGGCAAAUUUCCAAACAUCACGAGUACUAUUAAUUCAUAAUUGUACGAGCAACAUCGCAUGAUUACUUGUUUAUUAUUAGCAUGAAAAAUUGGAUACUUCAUGUAUUCUCCCGCCAAAGCCCAGUCCUGCCAGACUUUCAACCAAAAUUUGGUGCUUUUGUCCGUAUUUUCAUUUAGUUUUUUUGUUAAAGCAAAUUUUGGUGCUUUUGUUCGUAUUUUCAUGUUUAAAAUACCUUUAGGCCAUUUUGUUUGUUUUGGGAAAAUCAUUAAUUGUACUGCAGUACAAUUAAUGAAAUAAUUGUACUCCUCUCAUCCAAUCAGCAUCCAGUAAUUAUGUCAUGCUAAUAAUAAACCAUGUAAACUAGUUUUAUGAAAGAUAUCGAUGUAGGAAUCAGUUACAACAUAAAGCACAGUUAAUCACCGGCCUAGUUUCCCUGUAUAAACCAUGCAUUUAAUUUCAUUUAUUAUAGAAACUAUUUAAGGUUGCUUUUAUAUAUAAUAUCCCGCCGCAGAUAUUACGUCUCAUGCGUAAUCAUAAAAUUGGGUAGAAUUAAGAAAUCGCAGCGUCACGACAUUUGUACCCCAGGCUUUUCGAUCGGACAAUUUAAAGUUGAGGUAUAAUAUGUCGGCCUACUAUUUAAAACACAAGCAUAUAGGGGUGUUUUAUCGGAUAUUUAUAAUAUAGCAUUUGUAAAUUCUGAACGCUGAUUGGCUAAGAGCCGUGUUGAUAUAACUCCAUGUCAACACGGGAAAUUUUCCACCGCUUCUAAACAAGGAAAUUUUUCUUAUUCUUCGGGCUUUUGACAUUGCUAUAUCAUAAAAAAAUAUAAAACAUUUUUUCCGUAUUGAUAUAUAGUUAUAUCAACACUCGUGGAAGUUGGGAAAACUCGAAAUUGUAUGAAAACACUCCGCCCUUCGGGCGUCGUGUUUCCACACAAUUUCUCGUUUUCCCAAUUCGACUCGUGUUGAUAUAACUGUAUAUCAACAAGGAAAAUGUUUUAUAUUUGUUAAAUAAAACACGAGAGCGCAGCUCGAGUGUUUUAUAGCUGAUAUAGCACGGACUGCGAGUUUUUCAAAUGGCUUAGAAAACGACUCAUCCGAUGAGUUCAUUGGUGAAGUAAUUUUAAAAAUAAACAUUGUCUAAGCCGAGAAAAUCAAAGCUAAAUCAAAGCUUUAUCACAUAUAAAACCACUGACACGGUAGUGAUUUCCUUUGCCUUAACUGCUUUAAUGAAAUGUGUUGGCAUUGGUAUAGAGAUUCGGGUUUAUGCAUCGAAAGACGUUUUCCACAAACCAAAACAAAAAAACAACAUAAUGUGCGUUUCGUGUACUUCCUUAGGAUUCUGGAGGAAGAUUGCCUCUGAUCAAUGCGUUGGAGCCAGGAACAACCAUUAUAAGCAGUUCGCAUACACCGGGCCAAACACUUUCAUUAUUGCCAUGAAAAUGGUACACAAGAAAGGCAGCAUUGGAUGCAGUGGCGGAGCGUAUACACGUUGGGGAUGCAGCACUGCAAGUCCUACAAACAUUAUUGUCACAGGUA